rnacentral:rRNA from 1 species
CCACAUCCAAGGAAGGCAGCAGGCACGCAAAUUACCCACUCCCGGCACGGGGAGGUAGUGACAAAAAAUAACGAUACGGGACUCAUCCGAGGCCCCGUAAUCGGAAUGAGAACACUCUAAAUCCUUUAACGAUGAUCUAUUGGAGGGAAAGUCUGGUGCCAGCAGCCGCGGUAAUUCCAGCUCCAAUAGCUUGGCAAAUGCUUUCGCNNNNNNNNNNNNNNNNNNNNNNAAGACGCAGUAAAGCGAAAGCAUUUGCCAAGUAUGUCUUAAUUGAUCAAGAACGAAAGUUAGAGGUCCGAAGGCGAUCAGAUACCGCCCUAGUUCUAACCAUAAACGAUGCCAGCCAGCGAUCCGCCGACGUUCCUCCGAUGACUCGGCGGGGAGCUUUCCCCGGGAAACCAAAGCCUUUGGGUUCCGGGGGAAGUAUGGUUGCAAAGCUGAAAC